GCUGGUGUAGUUUAGCCUGGCUAUAACGCCGUGCUCAUAACGCGGAGGUCGUGAGUUCAAAUCUCACCACCAGCA
rnacentral:tRNA from 1 species